GAUGAAGAACGUAGCGAAAUGCGAUAAGUAAUGUGAAUUGCAGAAUUCAGUGAAUCAUCGAAUCUUUGAACGCACAUUGCGCCCGCUAGUAUUCUGGCGGGCAUGCCUGUUCGAGCGUCAUUUCAACCAUCAAGCCCUGUUUAGGCUUGUGUUGGGGCCCUGCGGUUGCCGCAGCCCCCUAAAUGCAGUGGCGGGCUCGUUGUCACUCCGAGCGCAGUAGCGUAUCUCGCUCUGGGCGUGGCGGCGGGUGCUAGCCGUGAAACACCCACUAAGGGUGACCUCGGAUCAGGUAGGAAUACCCGCUGAACUUAAGCAUAUCAAUAAGCGGAGGA
rnacentral:misc_RNA from 1 species